rnacentral:rRNA from 1 species
AUGGUUGUCGUCAGCUCGUGUCGUGAGAUGUUGGGUUAAGUCCCGCAACGAGCGCAACCCCUAUUGUUAGUUGCCAUCAUUCAGUUGGGCACUCUAGCGAGACUGCCGGUAUAACCGAGAAGUGGGAUGACGUCAAAUCAUCAUGCCCCUUAUGACCUGGGCUACACACGUGCUACAAUGGUUGGUACAACGAGUUGCGAGUCGGUGACGGCGAGCUAAUCUCUUAAAGCCAAUCUCAGUUCGGAUUGUAGGCUGCAACUCGCCUACAUGAAGUCGGAAUCGCUAGUAAUCGCGGAUCAGCACGCCGCGGUGAAUACGUUCCCGGGCCUU